rnacentral:rRNA from 1 species
UACAGAGGGUGCAAGCGUUAAUCGGAAUUACUGGGCGUAAAGCGUGCGUAGGCGGUUCAGCAAGUCGGGUGUGAAAUCCCUGGGCUUAACCCAGGAACUGCAUUCGAUACUACUGAGCUGGAGUAUGGUAGAGGGUAGUGGAAUUCCAGGUGUAGCGGUGAAAUGCGUAGAUAUCUGGAGGAACAUCAGUGGCGAAGGCGGCUUCCUGGCCCAAAACUGACGCUGAGGUGCGAAAGCGUGGGGAGCAAACAGG